AUGAUCAGUUUUCAGGACGAGUCCAGAGUGACAAAGACGUCCUCAGAGAAGGACGAAUCAGACUCCAUGUGUCCAGACUGAGGACUGAAGACUCUGGUCUGUAUCUGUGUGACGUGAAAACUGAAGAUGGAUUCAACUCUGGAAGAUGUCGACUCAACGUUACUGCAGCUGCUGAUCAGAUCCAAACUCAGAGACCAACUUUGACUCCAGAACCAGAGAGAGGAGAAACGAGGACCAACGUCAUCGCCGUGACAGUCGCAGUAGCAGCAGUUCUAAUAUUUGUAAUAAUAAACUUGAUUAUAUUUUUGAUUUUGAGAAGGAAAAGAAAGAAAAACAAACAUAAUAAUUUGAAAAGUGUAGUUGAAAAAUAUAAUGCAGAUGAAAGUUUUGUUCAAGUGAGUUUGGUUGAUGAUAAUUUUGCCACCAAAGAAACAUCAGAUUAGAUUUAAUGAUCUGGUGAGGAAAAUGUUUGAUUGAAUGUAUUGUAAUAUAAAUUAUAUUUAUCUGUUUAUUGUUAUUGUUUCAGUUUCCUGUUUUAAACCAUUUCUAAAAACAGUCAGAUGUAUUGAUCAGUUAUUUAUGCCUAAAUGCUGAAUCAGCUGAUUGUUACUGAUAAAAUGAUUUCAUUUAUUAUUUUCACAGGAAUAUUUAGAUAAACAUUUUUUAAAAAUAUCUUGUGAAGAAAAAACAGAACAAAACAACAUGAAGCUUUUAGUAGUUAUAAAGUCAAUAUUUGACUAUUUUGAAGUGAUGAUUUUUCUACGUUUAAUACAUUUAAAUGAUUAACAUGAAACAUUAAAUGUGUUUUAUAAUGUAGAUUUUCACCAUCAUUGUUUGUUUUGUAGAAAGUUUAUGAAUGUAAAUGUUGAGGUUUCAUUUCAGAACCGUUAAUUCUUCAACAUGUCCAAAGUUUUCUCAGUGUUUCAACUCAAAUCUUCUUAUGAGUUUUAUUUCUGAUAACAUGAUUUUUCUGUAGUUUUUAUCAAUGAUCAGAAACUGAAUCUUUUAUUAAAACCUGUUUGUUUUUCCACCAGCUGUGUCUCCAUCUUGUUCUCCCUGAAUGAAUCUCUCUCUGUUUGCUUGUUUCCUCUUUAAUGUCUCA